rnacentral:lncRNA from 13 species
GUCAGGGCCCAGAGAUCCAAGGUCAGCUUUCCGGGGUCUGCCAGUCUUGUCAGGAGUCCAGCUUUGUGCCAUCAUUCAUUCGGUCUUUGGCAUCAGAGAGGAAGGGAGUGUCUGGGGACUUUCCAUGGGACUGGUUUAGCUGUGAACCCAGAAGAGAGAAAAUAGGUGUGGUGAGAAUCUAGCUGUCUCUGGAAUAGACUUCGGAAUGGCACAGGUUAGCUCUAAAGCUGGGCCUGAGCUUCUUAACUGGAGAUCCUUGAAUUUGUGGAGGAUUCACGCAUCUCUUGCAAUUGAAUGCAAAAUGAUUCUGUGCUGAUAUGAAAGCAUUAAUAGGUGGCAUAAAGAGGCAUCAUUUUGUCCUUGGACCAAGAUGAAAGAGACUUCUAAGGAUGAGAACACUGAGGCUACUGGCAGUGGCAAACAGGCCCUGGUAUGUGAUGUUCCCCUCUCUGUGUCCAUGGAUUCUCAUCGUUCAACUUCCGCUUACAAAGGAGAACAUGUGGUGUUUGGUUUUCUGUUCCUAUGAUAGUUUGCUGAGAAUGAUGGCUUCCAUCUUCAUCCAUGUCCCUGCAGAGGACAUGAACUCAUCCUGUUUUAUGGUAAGCAACACUAUUUUUAAACAAAAUAGAUUAAAUUAUAUAUCUGGAUUUAAAUAUUCAUAGUUCUGUAAAUUAACCUUGAGACUCAUUAAGAUAAGAGGGAUGCUCAGGGUUCGCUGGGGGUCUAGAAAACUAACAGCACAUAUUCAAUAGUGUUUUUCUAUGUUUAUGAUAUAUUAUGCCAAUGAUGUGGCAGGCAAAAAUGCAUUUGUCACAAAGGGUC